AUCCGGCCGUGACUUUUAUCGCGGCAUGAAUGGGGAACCGUAACGGUGCGACCGGUUCACACGAGGCCAUGUCUCGUCAUUGGGAAUACACCUGAUGUCGAUGGCCGGUUCUUUCGAAUACGUGUAACGAUUUUACGUGGAAUUUCGAUUCUGAUGAAGACAUGGGCCAAGAAAGCAGGUCGUGGAACGCGGAAUCGCUCAUCGCGCAUUAAGAGGAUCUUCACUCGGUUUGCUCGUCGCCGGAAGUCGCACGUCGUUCAUAAACCUAAGUCUAGAACGGGCGCAUUCGACCACAUUUAAUUGUUAACUCGACUGUCUUUGUGUAUGCCAUUACGUAAUUGAACUUGACAGAAGAAACUAUUAAAUUUGUAAUUUGUGCUCA